rnacentral:rRNA from 1 species
GGUUAAGUUAGAAAGGGCGCACGGUGGAUGCCUUGGCACUAGGAGCCGAAGAAGGACGGGACUAACACCGAUAUGCUUUGGGGAGCUGUACGUAAGCGUUGAUCCAGAGAUUUCCGAAUGGGGGAACCCACUAUCUUUAGUCGGAUAGUAUCCUUACGUGAAUACAUAGCGUGAGGAAGGCAGACCCAGGGAACUGAAACAUCUAAGUACCUGGAGGAAGAGAAAGAAAAAUCGAUUUCCUGAGUAGCGGCGAGCGAAACGGAAAGAGCCCAAACCAAGAAGCUUGCUUCUUGGGGUUGUAGGACACUCUAUACGGAGUUACAAAAGAAAGUUAUAAAUGAAGCGGUCUGGAAAGGCCCGCCAAAGACGGUAACAGCCCGGUAGUUGAAAUGGCUUUCCCUCCAGAGUGGAUCCUGAGUACGGCGGAACACGUGAAAUUCCGUCGGAAUCCGGGAGGACCAUCUCCCAAGGCUAAAUACUCCCUAGUGACCGAUAGUGAACCAGUACCGUGAGGGAAAGGUGAAAAGCACCCCGGAAGGGGAGUGAAACAGUUCCUGAAACCGUGUGCCUACAAGUAGUUAGAGCCCGUUAAUGGGUGAUAGCGUGCCUUUUGUAGAAUGAACCGGCGAGUUACGAUUUGUUGCAAGGUUAAGCGGAAAAAGCGGAGCCGUAGCGAAAGCGAGUCUGAAUAGGGCGCAUAAGUAACAGGUCGUAGACCCGAAACCAGGUGAUCUACCCAUGUCCAGGAUGAAGGUAAGGUAAUACUUACUGGAGGUCCGAACCCACGCACGUUGAAAAGUGCGGGGAUGAGGUGUGGGUAGCGGAGAAAUUCCAAUCGAACUUGGAGAUAGCUGGUUCUCUCCGAAAUAGCUUUAGGGCUAGCCUCGAGGUAAAGAGUCAUGGAGGUAGAGCACUGUUUGGACUAGGGGCCCUUCUCGGGUUACCGAAUUCAGAUAAACUCCGAAUGCCAUGUACUUAUACUCGGGAG